rnacentral:misc_RNA from 1 species
UUAUUUUCAAAUUCUUUUAAAUUAUCAAAUACGUUGAUUCAGACAAACUAGCUUAAGAGCAGGUUAAAAUUCUAAAGGCUUUCCAGAGAUCCAGAAAGCCUUGGAACGAUGCACACAAGGUGGGUAUGGAUUUUUAAAAAAGUGCCAUAAACACUUAUUGUGAAUGAUCCUUCCGCAGGUUCACCUACGGAAA